UCCGGUUUGUCACCGGCAGUCUUGCAUGAGUCCCCGGCCGAACCGCUGGCAACAUGCAACGGGGGUUGCGCUCGUUGCGGGACUUAACCCAACACCUCACGGCACGAGCUGACGACAGCCAUGCAGCACCUGUUCACGUUGUACCCUUGCGGGCCUCAUCGACGUUUCUGCCGACUAAUCCGUGUAUGUCAAACCCAGGUAAGGUUCUGCGCGUUGCUUCGAAUUGAGCCACAUGCUCCACCGCUUGUGUGAGCCCCCGUCAAUUCCUUUGAGUUUUAAUCUUGCGACCGUACUCCCCAGGCGGGAUGCUUAAUGCGUUAGCUGCGCCACUGACCGGUAAACCGGCCAACGGCUAGCAUCCAUCGUUUACGGCGUGGACUAC
rnacentral:misc_RNA from 1 species